GCUACUGUGGCGCAGCUGGUAGCGCAACUGAUUCGUAAUCAGUAGGUCAGCGGUUCGAAUCCGCUCAGUAGCU
rnacentral:tRNA from 1 species